rnacentral:tRNA from 1 species
GGUAAAAUGGCUGAGUUUAAAGCGAUAAAUUGUAAAUUUAUUUAUGAAGUUAAUUUUCUUUUACUA